CCAAAAUUCACUCUUUAUAAUUUGAAACUAUCAAAAAAGUCAUGGUACAAAGAGGCCACGUGUACAAAUUUGCUGUCUAAAACCAUGAGAAGCUAAUUUCCAUGCCCAAGAUAAUGUUUCAAAGAGAUAUCUUUUCAAUGUGUUUUCUUAGGAGGGCAAGAUUUCAAAGAGGAACACGAGCAAAGCAAGGCAAAUGGAUGCUUUUGGCCAACCAAGGAGAAACUCAAGUAAAACAAAACGUGAAAUAAAGAAGCACAAAAAUGUAUUCGAGGAGAAAAAGUAAAUUACAAUGUCUCUUGUUGCUAGACUUUGUUUCUUCUGCUUUUUAAUUCUUCCUUGGCACCAAUAAAGUCUCUCCAACUAUG